GGGAAGGUAGCUUAAUGGUAGAGUGCUUGCCUUGCAUGCAUGAGGCCCUGGGUUCGAUUCCUCAGCACCA
rfam:Dipodomys ordii contig_49812, whole genome shotgun sequence.